UACGUAGGGUGCGAGCGUUGUCCGGAAUUAUUGGGCGUAAAGCGCGCGCAGGCGGCUAUCCAAGUCAGUGGUGAAAGCCCGGAGCUCAACUCCGGAACUGCCAUUGAAACUGUUUAGCUUGAGGACGAGAGAGGUGAGUGGAAUUCCCAGUGUAGAGGUGAAAUUCGUAGAUAUUGGGAAGAACACCGGUGGCGAAGGCGGCUCACUGGCUCGUAUCUGACGCUCAGGCGCGACAGCGUGGGGAUCAAACAGG
rnacentral:rRNA from 1 species